CUGCUGUGGUGAUGCCAGCUGCAGUGGGGGAGGCAUGACUGGGGCUGCAUGCUCUGUGGAGCCUGCAGGAGUC
rnacentral:miRNA from 10 species